AUAGAUACUGGGGCACAGGCAGGGAGUGUACAGCCCAGGAAUGGGGUCUGACAUUCAUCAAAGAAUCACAGAAAAAAGCAUCUCCACCCUCCCCCUUGCUUCAGGUGAAAUGGGGAGCAGGUCAGGGAAUGGCCCCGAGGAAAUGGCCAUUGGUCUGAGAGCUGAUGGAUGGGUAGACAAGGAGCAAGAGAAGCGGCUUUCCUGGCAACAGCAAAGCACGUGCAAAGGCCCCGUGGUGGGAGGAGGCAGCGUGUUAGGGGAACUAAAGGAAGUCUACUGUCGGUGGCUAGAGCAGAGAGCACGAGAGGCCAGUGCUAUACGGAUCUUUUUAGUUGCCAGUGACAGAAAACCCAACCCAAACUGGUUAAGCAAAGAGAGAACUCGUUGGCUUAUAUACAGGACUGGAGAAUCCCAAGGUGGUCGGUGUGUGUAUUAAUCACAUUUUUAUUGUCUGCAUCUUAUGAAAUUUUGACAUCUUAUUUCUUUUUGAGACAGAGUUUCGGUCUGUCACCCAGGCCGGAGUGCAGUGGCCCGAUCUCAGCUCACUACACCCUCUGCCUCCCAGGUUCAAGUGAUUCUCCUGCCUCAGCCUCCCAAAUAGCUGGGAUUACAGGCUCCCACCACCAUGCCUGGCUAAUUUUUUGCAUUUUUAUUAGAGGCGGGGUUUCACCGUGUUGGUCAGGCUGGUCUCAAACUCCUGACCUCAGGUGAUCCACCUGCCUCAGCCUCCCAAAGUGUUGGGAUUACAGGCGUGAGCCAAUGCGCCCAGCCCAAUUUUGACAUCUUAAAAAAAUAAAAUAAAAAAACCUUAUGGGCCAGGAAGAGCCGGCCUUUCCCAGGGCUAGGCAAUUCUUUGAGAUAGCAAAAGGCUCAUCUGGGGGCAUGCAUAUGCAAACCAGCCGACCCUCAACCACUCCCCUUUACCCAACUCUCACACCAAGCCAGUAUUUCCCCUGCCCUAAAUCACCCAGGGUCAGGUACCAGACAACUGAAGACAGCCUAUAGCCCAGAGCCCACAUGACAGCUGCAG
rnacentral:lncRNA from 1 species